rnacentral:lncRNA from 1 species
AUGGGGCGGGGCUCACGCCCAAGGCCGAGCUCACGCAAGGGGCGGAGCCCACGCACAGGGCGGAGCGCACGCACGGGGCGGAGCCCACGCGGCGCACGCACGGGGCCCACGCAGAGGGAGGGGCUCAUGCACGGGGCGGGGCCCACGAGGCGCACGCACGGGGCCCACGCAGAGGGCGGGGCUCAUGCACAGGGCGGGGCCCACGCACCGACGAAGCUCACGCACGGGGCUCAUGCACAGGGCUGGGCUCGCACAUGCGGCUCACGCAGUGGCUGGGAUUACGCAGGGGGCGGGGCUCACGCAGGGGCUGGGAUUACGCGGGGAGCAGGGCUCAUGCACGGGGCGGGGCUCACGCAGGGGCGGGGCUCAUGCACGGGGAGUGGCUCACUAGAGGGGGCUGGUGCUGGAGGGUCCUGGCUGCCUCGCCCCCAGGUCAGGCACAGCUGUGGCUGUGGGCUGGAGCUCCCCGGUUCUUCUUGUUGCCUCGCUCUUCCUGUCGGCAGGAUGGGCUCCGUGGCGGUCUCGGGGCAGAGAACGGGUGUGAGCAGACAAGCCGGCGUGGACAUCUCUUGCACUGAAUUCUAUUGGUCAAAGUGCAUCAAAGGCCCCUGGGGAGGGGGCUUCGAGGGUGGGGGGUGUGGACUCUACCUCCUGAAGGUGGCACCUUCAGAGUCACACACAGGGGAGAGGGGCCGCCCCUCAAACAACCCCGGGCGCCCUCGGACGCGAGCCGGCCACCUUCUCGGCGCACUGGGUUCCUCUUCAGCCGCCACUUGUGUCGGGCCCUUGUGCCAGAUGACCCGGUUUAGCGUGGCAGAGAUUUCUUCUCAACAAGUUCGCGAGGGCAGGACUCAGGGAACCUCCAGCCCCUUCCCUGCACCUGCCUCCCCCUUUCCAAGCUCUCAGACCACUGCCACGUUCGGCCCCGGCUGUCCCUGUGGAUUUGGGCCACCCUCGGUCUCCGCUUUCUGCACAGCUGGCCUGGGAGGGCACUGCUGGCUGUGGGGCGACCCGGCUCCACCCCGUGGGCCUCUGCCCCGUUUUCCGGUCCUCGCAGCCCAGCCCUAUGAGAAGGAUGCUUUCUCCGCAAGCGAGGCUCCCUGGGAAACCGACUGGGGCCUGAGGGGACAGACUUUUGCCGGUCAAGUGGGAAAAACUGUACCCGGAAGUACCGGAGAUGGGCUUAUUUAG